CGGCCCGGGAGCGCCGGGGGCAGCUCCGGGGGGCUUUGGAGUCGCGAGAGUGGCGGGGACCUCACCCCUACCCCGAAGCGCCGGACCGGUAGGGACGAUUACUGCAGCCGGGGCUGUGCACCCGCGGGAUCGGAGCCCGGGAAAAGGAAGCAAAAGCUUGGAACCUCCGCAGGCUGGACGAGGAUCCAUCUUUCACCUGAGCUGGGAAUAGACUUUGUAAAAGAUAUUAUGUAAUGGAGUCUCGGGCAGCUCGAGACGUCUCCAGCGAAGCUGCUGGUGAAUUAAUUAAGAGGUUCAGAUGGUUUUAGGUUUUAUCGCCCUGCUGUCUGUGCCGAGGUGCUGUAUCACGGAAGAGGGGGACUGGAAAGUGACAACUGAGCCCCUGACUGGAGGCAGACCGAAUACAAGUCUUGACGUGACGCUGAAGCCGUGGAUCUCACGCACCAUUAAUGUCAUCUGACAUUACCAUUUUGUUUCCCAAGCUCAUGGGCAAAAGUGGUAGAUUAUCAGUUCAUUGGUGGGAGCAGGACGUGUAAGAGUGUGUACAUUCAUGAAUGAAUGAGAAGGAGAAGAACUACAGACAAAAAGAUUUUGAAGAAUCUGAGGCGUAGACAACUGUGUAUAUGGAUAUCAGGUCCUUCAGAGUCUUAUUAUUGUACUUCCUUUUCAAGCCUCCUUUGUAAUACUGCCACAUGAUCUCCCCUUUUACCUUUCCUGCUAUUAUUAUUUCUCACUGUAUCAAGAUCUUCAGAUUUAUUAUGGACUACAGAUAAGCACCCCUUCUAUUUAUUAUUUGAACUUAAAGACUAUUUUAGUUUUCUGAUGUUGGGUCAUCAUACACAUAUUCUCUGUCAUUACUUGUUUGAUAGCUUAAUGUGUCUUAAACAUCUUUGCCAGCUUUUAGGAGCUCAAACUAAAAUUCAUAUGACAAAUCAAGUUCAUUAACCAAAAGCUGCUUGCCAGUGUGCUGUGACUGUAUAAAUGACUAUUGACCUGAGAUUAGCAAGGAAGGAAGGAAAAAAAAAAAGAUUGAGUUCUUAAAGUAUGGAACCAGGUAGGAAGAAAAUAUAGGAAGUAGAUUCCGAGAGUGUUUCUGUCACCAACUGAUUAUUGCCAAAAUUCUUGCCAUGUUUCCCAUUUAG
rnacentral:lncRNA from 1 species